rnacentral:rRNA from 1 species
UACAGAGGGUGCGAGCGUUGUCCGGAAUCACUGGGCGUAAAGGGCGCGUAGGUGGCCUGAUAAGUAGGGGGUGAAAUCUCGAGGCUCAACUUCGAGGCUGCCUCCUAAACUGUCAGGCUUGAGCAGAGUAGAGGCAGGUGGAAUUCCCGGUGUAGCGGUGGAAUGCGUAGAGAUCGGGAAGAACAUCGGUGGCGAAGGCGGUUCUCUGGGCAUGAUCUGACGCUGAGGAGCGAAAGUGUGGGGAGCGAACAGG